AUCAUUAGAUACAAUAUCACGGGUAAGUGAAAUUAUUUUUUAGUAGUUCUUGUACAAGUAUUUGGUCAUGUUGCUCAAGUUUGAAUUUCACACUUAGGCUCCAUUUGUUUCUUGGAAAUUAUGUACCCAGAAAACAGUUUCUGCAUUUUUUGGAAGGGACUUAAGAAAAUUAGUCAACGGAAAAUGUUUUUCUACUAAAGGAGAAAUUAGGACAUUUUUAAGGAAUUUGCUUCCUCUUUUGAAAAGAGGAAAACAAUCUGCGGACUUGACUCACUGAUUAAAAGAGAAAAAAAAACCUGUUAGGAAACUACAUAAAAUUUACUCAUUAGUCUACCAAUUAGUGCUAUUCAUCUUUGAUAGUCACUGGUAAACAAUGGCAGUGACAACCACAAUUUGCCAUUUAUUGUGUAAUUUUUCAUAUUCAAUGAUGAAUAGCAAUAUAUGAAAUUUUUAUAUGUCCAAAGAAUUUUUUUUGUACAAAUAGGUUUAAAGAUUUUUCAUAAGCUUAUAAAUUGAAGAAAAAUUAAUAUUUUCCAGUGUAUUCUGAACGCUAGAAAAUGAUUUCAUGCUAUUUUCAUUAUUGCAACCAAACAAUAGGAAAUAAAUUGGAAAAUGUUUUCCACAUAAAAUAUUUUCCAUAGUCAUUAUUUUUGGCCAAACAAAUAGACCUUAAUGUGUGCUUAUGAUUGCUCAAUUUACAUUCAUGUGUAUAAACUGAAUACCUACGCACACUUGUACCAGUACCACAAUGAGCUUACACACUCGCAUAGUCACAUGCAUACAAACAGCCAACCCAGAAAGUUUCUUGCACAUAAAACACAUACAAGUUAAUGUAGGACCAUGAAAAGACAAUAAAAAAACACAGAGAAAAGGCAUGAAGCUCUAAAUUUUGAUUUCAAUUUUAAUCAUCCAAAUUCAACUUGACAUUGAAAGAACUGCUAAUAAUACUUGUAUAGGUAAUGUAAAAAGACCAUAGCCCUAAUAACAAAGCCAAAUGCUAAAAAAUGCCUUAAAUAAUUAAGACAUCAAAACUAUCUGAUAAAUUAUUUUCUUAAUUUUGUUUCUAAAAUAUAUAGACCUAAAAUGUUUAACAUAUUAACGACUUCAUUCUUUCCAGGUUCGAAAUGAUAAGGCAAGGAAAUAUUUAACUACCAUGAGGAAAAA
rnacentral:misc_RNA from 1 species